rfam:Lingula anatina scaffold18, whole genome shotgun sequence.
CUUGGCUACGGCGACAUCGUUCCUAAGACACCAUAUGGAUACAUAGUUGGGGCCCUGUGUGCCAUGUGUGGUGUACUAAUGAUAGCCCUUCCCGUGCCUGUCAUAGUGAACAAU